AGAUGUUGAGUUUGUGCUGUGAAAACAGAAAUUCAUGGCUGAUAAAACAUCAGAAAAUGGAAAGAGCAGCCUGAUCCAAAAAAUCAAAAGUGCAACAAGCUGUGCUGCUCUGGGAGAAAAACAUGGGCCUAGAAAGACUUGAACAGACCGGUACUGUUUGGAUCAGGGGACAUUUGAAUCCCACUGCUGAGUAAGAAAAGAGGAAUUCUGUCAGCCCCGGGUCAGGCUACAGCUCUCAGAAGCAGAGGGGUUUGUCAGGAAGUGUGUGACACCCACUGAGUGCUGCUCCUAAGAAGAUGAAUAGAGAACUCUUAGUCUCUAGACCAAGAGCAGAAGAUGAAAGGAUAGUUUAGCAGAGACAAGCCAGGAGAGCCAGUGACUGGAAGAGUAGUUGAGUGCUUGCUCAUUAAAAGAAUUAACCCUACACAUCUUUUACCAAUCACCAUCCUGCCAACUCCCAUGGGAAGCUGCCCAACAAGACUAUCACUCUCACUUACUGCCUACAGCUUCUCCCAAGGUUUCAACACCUUUCUGUACAUUCAUGCUUAACCUAAAGUGCCAGUAUGGAAAUGCUCCUCCAAUCUUGCCUUCCCUCCUCCUUCCUCACUCAGAAAAGACUGGUCGGCCAACGUUUUCUUCGCAAUAGGAUGAAGAAAACCUGUGAGCCUGACCAAUUGCAAGAAAAGACUCACACUAGAAGUACUGCUGAGAAGAAAACACGUCUGAGUUUUUAAAUUUUAAAUGUGGUGAUUGAGAAAAUGGGACUUAACUGGUGAAGGAAACUGGUAGUUAGAGGUCACUGAUAACUGGGGGGUAGGGGCAAAGGGAGUAAGGGAGUAGUUCAGACAUUGUCUGUCAUUGGUACAUAAAAUGUUUCUAUUUGACAGUUUUCCGUGUUAAACCAUAAAGUGACAAUUGGUUUAUAGACACUGUAACUUUAAUCUCAGCAGAGACCGUCAAUUCAGACUAAUCUGAAAUCUUAACUCAGUACUUCAAAAUAAAAACAGAAAUGAAAAAUUGUUACUGGUAAAUAGCACCAUAUGAAUAAUCUUUUUUCCCCCCACUCUUUUUCCAUAGGCACAUGUACCAAUUAGAACAGACUGCCUAGAAACCUUAACCAGGUUCAUGCCCCAUCGCACUGGGCACAUGAGAUAUGCAGCAGUUUGCUUAGACUGCCCACAUGCUUUUA